rnacentral:rRNA from 1 species
AAUUUUGGACAAUGGGGGAAAACCUGAUCCAGCCAUCCCGCGUGUAUGAUGAAGGCCUUCGGGUUNUCAAGUACUUUUGGCAGAGANGAAAAGGUAUCUCCUAAUACGAGAUACUGCUGACGGUAUAUGCAGCAUAAGCACCGGCUAACUACGUGCCAGCAGCCGCGGUAAUACGUAGGUUGCAAGUGUUAAUCGGAAUUACUGUGGGUAAAGCGUGUGGAGGCGGUUCAGAAAGAAAGAUGUGCAAACCCAGGGCUCAACCAUGGAACUGCAUUUUUACCUGCCGAGCUAGAGUAUGUCAGAGGGGGGUAUAAUUCCACGUGUAGCAGUGAAAUGCGUAGAUAUGUGGAGGAAUACCGAUGGCGAAGGCAGCCCCCUGGGAUAAUACUGACGCUCAGACACGAAAGCGUGGGGAGCAAACAGG